CUCCAGUCCACCUGCUCCCACUCAAGGGGACCACCCUUCAAGAGACCCUCACCCUGCCCAUCAGUGCCCAAGAGAGGCGGGCAUCCAACAGCACCAUCUCUCUCUCCUUUCCCUUGCAGCUCCCUCUGCAGGAAGACCAGUGAGGCCUGCAAGAUGGCCUCCUGAGGUCAAGCCACUGAGCUGCAGGACAAAGAUGAUCUUUCUGGACCCCUGAUAUCCAGACCCCGUCUCAUCUUUCAGCAUGUUCAGAGUGUCUGUGGCUGCUGUGGGCAGAGAGGAGGUACUGGGGAAGUCCUGGCAGACUUAUCUACUAGCAGAGAGACUAAGCCUCCAUGCCACCCCAACUCCCGCUGCCCUUUUGACUGAGCUCUGAACACAAGUUAGAGGAGCUGGGGGAAGCUCCAAGCAGUCAGUACAUCAGCUGGUGAGCAUGUGGCGUGUUCCAUGUCAUGCUCAGCGCUGCGGAGAACAUCCCCACACAUAUCACAGCUCGAAUUCUCCGGUUGGGAAGGCAAGACUCACAGACAGAGAACAGUCAAAAAAGUCUUCAAGAGGCCCCUGGCGUAGUCUGAGGAGCCCUGGACAGAGCUUCUGGCCCCAGCAGUUCUUGGACCUGGGGUACUUUCCUCCCUGCAAGCAGCAAAGGAGGACAAGCCCCAGCUUCUCUAAGAUACCUUCGGCUGCCUGGAAGAGGCCUGUGGAAGGCCCUGCAUCUCUCCGCAGACCUCUGGGCGUUGCUGUUUCUUCUCAGUGGCCCUGGUCUCCUCAGCCAGGCCCCAUUCAAGAUGGAGUUGCUGUGGUUCAGAUGCCUCUGACACACCGACGCACACAGAUCCACCUUCAUCUCAGCAACGUCUCUCACACACAGAGCUACUGCAGUCCUGCGUGUCUCCUCCGGAGAGGGUCCCUCAGACAGUCAUGUGUAUUUCUCCACUCAGAAGGGGUCAGAGCUCUCCAUGGAACAAUGAAAACCUAA
rnacentral:lncRNA from 1 species